rnacentral:rRNA from 1 species
AUUGAACGCUGGCGGCAGGCUUAACACAUGCAAGUCGAACGAGUGGCGGACGGGUGAGUAAUUCGUGGGAAUCUAGCUUAUGGAGGGGGAUAACUACGGGAAACUGUAGCUAAACACGCGUACCAUAGGAUGAGCCAAAGUGGGAUUAGGUAGUUGGUGGUGUAAAGGCCCACCAAGCCGACGAUCUCUAGCUGGGCUGAGAGGAUGACCAGCCACACUGGAACUGAGCCACGGCCCAGCCUCCUACGGUAGGCAGCAGUGGGGAAUAUUGCGCAAUGGGGGCAACCUGACGCAGCCAUGCCGCGUGAAUGAAGAAGGCCUUCGGGUUGUAAAGUUCUUUCGGUAGCUAGGCGUUAACUACAGAAUAAGCACCGGCUAACUCCGUGCCAGCAGCCGCGGUAAUUC